rnacentral:rRNA from 1 species
GACGAACGCUGGCGGCGUGCCUAAUACAUGCCAGUUGAGCGAUGACGCUUGGUGCUUUCGCCAAUUUGAAGAGCAGCGAACGGGCGAGUAACGCGUGCGUAAUCUGCCUUUUAGCGGGGGACAAUAUUUGGAAACGAAUGCUAAUACCACAUCACAACUUUAAACAUAAGUUUCAAGUUUGAUAGAUGCAAUUCCAUCAUUCAAAGAUCAUCCCGCGUUUAAUUAGGUAGGUGGUGAGGUUAAGGCUCACCAAGGCGAACGUACAUAGCCUGCCUGAGAGGGUGGUCAGGCACAUUGGGACUGAGGACAGGCCCAAACUCCCACGGGGGGGAGCAGGAGGGGAUCAUAGGACAAGGACGAAAGGCUGACCGCGGAACGCCGGGGGAGUGAAGAAGGGUUUCGGGUCGUAAAACUCUGUUUGUAGGGAAGAAAGUUGGUGAGAGUGGAAAGCUGAUGAAGUGACGGUAACUACACAGAAAGGGACGGCUAACUACGUG